rnacentral:rRNA from 1 species
UACGUAGGGGGCAAGCGUUGUCCGGAUUUACUGGGCGUAAAGAGCGCGCAGGCGGUCGUACAAGUCGCGUGUGAAAGCCCCCGGCUCAACUGGGGAGGGUCACGCGAUACUGUUCGACUCGAAGGCAGGAGAGGGAAGCAGAAUUCCCGGUGUAGUGGUGAAAUGCGUAGAGAUCGGGAGGAACACCAGUGGCGGAAGGCGGCUACCUGGACCAGCACUGACACUGAGGCACGAAAGCGUGGGGGAGCCAAAACAGGG